AGGAGGAACAACCGCAGUGGCGGGGCCAGCUCUGGAGCCCUGGAAUCAGCCCCCACAGUAACUCCGGAGCUCUCCGUCUGCAGGGCCUGGAGGCUCCGGGGCGGG
rnacentral:pre_miRNA from 1 species